AGGCCCUCGGCCUGCUGGGAAAACGCACGUUUGAUAAGCCUCCUCCAGGCAGGUCCACAGGGAUCAUCUCCUUCAUCGGGCCGACGUUCGGCUACAUCGAGAGAGA